rnacentral:rRNA from 1 species
CCUACGGGAGGCAGCAGUGAGGGAUAUUGGUCAAUGGGCUUACGCCUGAACCAGCCAAGUCGCGUGAGGGAAGACUGCCCUAUGGGUUGUAAACCUCUUUUGUCAGGGAGCAACGCCGGCUACGUGUAGCCGGACUGAGAGUACCUGAAGAAACAGCAUCGGCUAACUCUGUGCCAGCAGCCGCGGUAAUACGGAGGAUGCGAGCGUUAUCCGGAUGUAUUGGGUUUAAAGGGUGGGGAGGCGGAAUGCCAAGUCAGCGGUAAAAUCGCGGGGCUCAACCUCGCUCCGCCGUUGAAACUGGCGUUGUUGAGUGGGCGAGAAGCAUGCGGAAUGCGUGGUGUAGCGGUGAAAUGCAUAGAUAUCACGCAGAACUCCGAUUGCGAAGGCAGCAUACCGGCGCCCAACUGACGCUGAAGCACGAAAGCGUGGGUAUCGAACAGGAUUAGAUACCCUUGUAGUC